GGGGGCGAAAUGGUUUCGACGGGGAUCAGGAAGCCGUGGCUGCAUACCGAGCCCUCCGCCAACUCGUAAAAAGGGUGGAAACUUAAAAUAAUCGCAGACGAUUAUAACUACGCUAUGGCCGCUUAAGGCCAUCGUCCUCCCGGAUUUCUCCCGCGAAUUUGGAUAGGACGUCGACUAGUGGGAUAGCACGGCUUGUUCGCCUGUUACAACGCCGCGCGAAACCUAAACAGGCUAGCCUGCCGGACGCCCCCGCCUGAAUGGGCCUCGCCAGGCGAAAGCUAAUAUUCGGGACAAGUAUGUAGAUGCCACCGUGGAAUAUUUCCGGACGCGGGUUCGACUCCCGCCGCCUCCACCA
rnacentral:tmRNA from 1 species